UGGCUACUUCAGUGCAUCUGACCCCCAC
rnacentral:piRNA from 1 species